rnacentral:rRNA from 1 species
AGCGAAAUUCAUUGUCGAGUAAGUUUCGACCUGCACGAAAGGUGUAAUGAUCUGGGCGCUGUCUCGGAGAGAGACUCGGUGAAAUAGACAUGUCCGUGAAGAUGCGGACUACCAAUACUAGGACAGAAAGACCCUAUGAAGCUUGACUGUAUCCUGGAAUUGAACUCGGGCUUUUCUUGCGCAGCCUAGGUGGGAGGCGUUGAAGGUCCCCUUCCGGGGGGGCUGGAGCCAUCAUUGAGAGACCACUCUGGAAGAGCUAGAGUUCUAAUGGUGAUCUUUGAAACAAGACACUUGACAGUUUCAGGUGGGCAGUUUUCCUGGGGCGGGAACCUCCCAAAGCGUAACGGAGGUGUGCAAAGGUUCUCUCAGUCUGGACGGAAAUCAGACAUUGAGUGUAAAGGCAAAAGAGAGCUUGACUGUAAGACCAACAAGUCGAGCAGGGGCGAAAGCCGGCCUUAGUGAUCCGACGGUGCCGUGUGGAAGGGCCGUCGCUCAACGGACAAAAGUUACUCUAGGGAUAACAGGCUGAUCUUCCCCAAGAGUUCAUAUCGACGGGAAGGUUUGGCACCUCGAUGUCGGCUCAUCACAUCCUGGAGCGGUAGUACGUUCCAAGGGUUGGGCUGUUCGCCCAUUAAAGUGGUACGUGAGCUGGGUUCAGAACGUCGUGAGACAGUUUGGUCCAUAUCCGGUAUUGGCGUAAGAGCAUUGAGAGGAGUCUUUCAUAGUACGAGAGGACCUGAAAGAAUGUGCCAAUUGUGUACCAGUUCUCAUUCCAAUGGGAAACGCUGGGUAGCUAUGCACAGAGACGAUAAAAGCUGACAGCAUCUAAGUUUGAAGCUCACCUCAAGAUGAGUGCUCUCUAAUUAGGUCGCGGGAAGAUCACCCGUUUUAUAGGCGUUAGGUCUACAGUCAGUAAUGGCUUGAGCUGAGACGUACUAAAGACCAAUUGAUU